rnacentral:lncRNA from 1 species
ACAAUAAGGGACAAUGUGAGCUCCCCGCCCGGUGCCCUCCCCCCCCACCCCCGCCUCCCCGGCUCCGGGGCUCUGAGGGCUCAGGAGGACCCAGGGGCUCGGGCCGGGGCUCAGUGUCCCCCCGGUGUCCCCCCGGUGCCAGAGGACCAGGCUGCAGCUCACGUCCCCCCCUGCACCAGAAGCGGCUUUGGGACAGAGGAAUCCUCGGUUCGUUUUGGCGAAAUGAUGGCGUUUUCGGCAAAAUAUCAUCGGAACGAUAACGGAGGAAAAAAAAAUAAGAAGAAUCCAACCCUGCGUUUAAAUAAAGACGGGUGAUAAUUUCAUUAUCAGGAUAAGACUUUGGGUGGGAAAAACGCUGGAGAAUUUUCGCAUCGCUGGAGGGUGUCUGCGCUCUCACGACCGGGGAUACUGCAGUCGUUUGGAAAGGACGAAGAGGUAGGAACCUGGAGCUGCUUAGGAUCGGGAAUGACUGGAUUAUAGCUUCCAACUAAAGAAAAAAACAUCAAGAAUCAUGCAUUUUAAAAACAGUUUAUUCAACGGCCAAGGACAAUGAUCCGGCACAAUGUAACGGCAGAUAUAAAUAUAACCUUAUAUAAGUGGUUGACCCUUGUCAUUAUUAUUUUUAAUAGCUUCAUACCUAAUAUUUUAACCAUUUCCCCCCGCAGAACCGACUCUGCGAAUUAUAUUUUUUUUCUCCCCUCCCUUUUUCUUUCAUUUUUUUAAAAUUUAUUUUCUAAAUCUUUUUUUUUUAAUUCUUUUUUUCUUUUUUUUUUUCCUUC